UCCUCACACAGCAUGACUGGAGGCUGAGUCUUUGGAAGAAGGAGCGGAACCUCCCUAGCCAUCUCCACCAGCCUUUCCUUAGACUAUGAUUAGGAUAACCCUAACCAGGAUUGGCAGAGAGGGGACAGUGGUGUCUCAGUGACCCAAGCGGGGAGACCUGUACAGGCGUGUCCCACAGGAGUAGGACAGAGAAGGCUGGAGCCUUUCCUGUCACUGGAAGAUGGGCCUCUCCUUGCGUGACUACACCUGACGCCUCCCUCAAGAAGCAAUCGGGAUGGAAAGGACAGAGCCCGGAGCCCCUGGAACUCAAGAUGGGCAGGAUGCUGGCGAGAAGCUGCAGGAGGGCAGCAGCAGCUGCUGGUGUGGCAUGGGAGGAUGGCGUUUCUAAAGCGUGCGGCUGUGCUGCAGGGCCUCCUGGCCGUGGGCUGGCUGUGGAGUAACAAAUAAAUAAAUGGCAG
rnacentral:lncRNA from 1 species